CUUUACAAAAUGUGAUAUUUAUUAUUUUACAGAGGAAGUAUAAUUUUGAAUUUUUUUUUAUUAUCUUAAGUAAGAUGAUCCAAUCCAUUUUUUAUUACAACAUAGACUAAAGAAAAUAAAUGGAGUCAGGAGCUUAUUCUAAGAAUAAAGUCAUGGAAAUGGCCAUGGGAGCUUUGUGGAAAACUACACAGAUGGAUUGGGAUGAAUUCAGAGCGACCUUCCGAAUUGAGGACGAUGAAUUCAGAGCGACCUUCCGAAUUGAGGACGAUGAAUUCAGAGCGACCUUCCGAAUUGAGGACACACAGGAACAUACAAGAUCUAAAAGCUGUAGGAAUAAGACUUAAGUCAAGCAAUACACCAAGCCCAAAAGAC
rnacentral:lncRNA from 1 species